rnacentral:rRNA from 1 species
UACGGAGGGGGCUAGCGUUGUUCGGAAUUACUGGGCGUAAAGGGCAUGUAGGCGGUUUUGUAAGUUAGACGUGAAAUCCCCGGGCUUAACCUGGGAACUGCGUAUAAGACUGCAAGACUAGAGUACGGGAGAGGAUAAGGGAAUUUCUAGUGUAGAGGUGAAAUUCGUAGAUAUUAGAAGGAACACCAGUUGCGAAGGCGCUUAUCUGGCCCGUUACAGACGCUAAGAUGCGAAAGCGUGGGGAGCAAACAGG